rnacentral:rRNA from 1 species
AGUGAACGCUGGCGGUAGGCCUAACACAUGCAAGUCGAACGGCAGCACAGUAAGAGCUUGCUCUUACGGGUGGCGAGUGGCGGACGGGUGAGGAAUACAUCGGAAUCUACUUUUUCGUGGGGGAUAACGUAGGGAAACUUACGCUAAUACCGCAUACGACCUACGGGUGAAAGCAGGGGAUCUUCGGACCUUGCGCGAUUGAAUGAGCCGAUGUCGGAUUAGCUAGUUGGCGGGGUAAAGGCCCACCAAGGUGACGAUCCGUAGCUGGUCUGAGAGGAUGAUCAGCCACACUGGAACUGAGACACGGUCCAGACUCCGACGGGAGGCAGCAGUGGGGAAUAUUAGGCAAUGGGCGCAAGCCUGAUCCAGCCAUACCGCGUGGGUGAAGAAGGCCUUCGGGUUGUAAAGCCCUGUUGUUGGGAAAGAAAAGCAGCAGGUUAAUACCCCGCUGUUCUGACGGUACCCAAAGAAUAAGCACCGGCUAACUUCGUG